rnacentral:rRNA from 1 species
GACGAACGCUGGCGGCGUGCUUAACACAUGCAAGUCGAACGGUGAAGCUCCAGCUUGCUGGAGUGGAUCAGUGGCGAACGGGUGAGUAACACGUGAGCAACCUGCCCCUGACUUUGGAAUAAGCGCUGGAAACGGCGUCUAAUACUGGAUACGAGAAGGGCCCGCAUGGGCACUUUCUGGAAAGUUUUUCGGUUGGGGAUGGGCUCGCGGCCUAUCAGCUUGCUGGUGGGGUAAUGGCUCACCAAGGCGACGACGGGUAGCCGGCCUGAGAGGGCGACCGGCCACACUGGGACUGAGACACGGCCCAGACUCCUACGGGAGGCAGCAGUGGGGAAUAUUGCACAGUGGGCGAAAGCCUGAUGCAGCGACGCCGCGUGAGGGAUGACGGCCUUCGGGUUGUAAACCUCUUUCGGCAGGGAAGAAGCGAAAGUGACGGUACCUGCAGAAGAAGCACCGGCUAACUACGUG